UACAGAGGGGGCAAGCGUUGUCCGGAUUUACUGGGCGUAAAGAGCGCGCAGGCGGUCGGAUAAGUCGAAUGUGAAAGCCCCCGGCUCAACUGGGGAGGGUCAUUCGAUACUGUUCGACUCGAAGGCAGGAGAGGGAAGUGGAAUUCCCGGUGUAGUGGUGAAAUGCGUAGAUAUCGGGAGGAACACCGGUAGCGAAGGCGGGUCUCUGGGCCGAUACUGACGCUGAGGAGCGAAAGCGUGGGGAGCGAACAGG
rnacentral:rRNA from 1 species